AUUAAAUAAAAAAGGUUAUUUACCGAUUAAAUCGAGUCGAUUUCCAGGGAAAUAUUAAAAAAUUUCGAUUUAACGUUACCACGGUCGAUUAUUUUGGUAUUGUUAUGGACGCAAAUUUGGGUAUCCGUAUCGAUCCGGACAAAUUACAGGCUAUUAAUAAUUGGAAAUUCGAAGAUUUUACGUCCAAAAUAACCGUACGUUCUUUUUUGGAAUUAUGCAAUUAUAUCCGAAUGUUUUACCACCAUAUUAGCAGCGUCGUUAAACCGUUAAACCGAUUGUUAAAAAAAAACGCCAAAUUUGCUAUGGGAUUAAAACAAAGGCGAAUAUUUGAAAAAAUAAAACGUUUAACCUGCGAUGCACCGGUUAUGGCAUUUUUUACCCCAGGCCGACCGAUUAAGGUAAAAACCGACGUUUUACGCAACGCGACCGGCGGAGCAAUUUAACAAUAGUAACCAGGUGGAAAAUGGAAAUUUGUGGGAUAUUUUUUAAAAACGAUAACCCCAAUAAAACGCGCAUAUCCGAUCCAAAACCGAAAAUUGUUGGUAAUGGUUUAAACGUUGGAAUAUUACGAAUUAAAAUUGUUGGGGACAAAUUUUUUUAUAGUUAUAAACCACCAAAUUUUAAUUUAUUAUUUUACAAAACGAUUUUUUUCGAUUCGAUAAAUGCGUUGGGUAAAUUUCCUGGCCAAUUUUAACAUUACGUUUUAAUACCGCCGCGGUAAAGAUAAUAUAACCGCCGAUAUUUUAUCCCGCAAAACGGCAAAUUUUCCAACAGUUAAAAUUCGGGAAAAAAAAGAACGAAUAAUAAUUUUAAUCCCAUUUGAAAAAAUUAUACCUACGGUGGCCGCCGUUAAUAUUGUCGACCUAAACGCCCACGUGGUGAACGGCGCAAAUUUGGUAGAUCUAAUACGAUAAAAAAACGAAAAGCAAAAACUAGGCCAACACCAAAAAAAACUAAUAAUCCCGGAAACGAUUUUAAACGGAUAAAUUUUUUUAAGGACCGUUUUGAUCCGUAAAAUUUACGAGUCCAAAAUAUUCGCCCACGCAAAAUAAAACAAAACGAUAUAAACAAUUAAAAAACAGUAUUUUUGGGAAAAUAUAAGUUAAACCAUUCGAAAAUAUAUUAAAAAUUGUCACGAUUGCGAACGAAAUAAAAAUAAAUACGACAAAACCCCGGGCUUAUUAUAUCCGUUACCGAUACCGAGUUACGUUUGGGAAUAUGUAGCAGUUAACGGAAAAAAUAUGCCCAAAAACAAAUUCGGAUACAAUUACGUGUAAAUGUUCGUUUGCAAAUUUAAUCGCCUAAUAGUUAUUAUCCCAGGACAGAAAACCGACACAGCAGAAAUUUUAACCUCCCGAUAUUACCGAUAUUUAUACCGUUUCCUAGGAUUAUUUUUCGUUUGGAUUAGCGAUAACGCCGGGCCGUUUAUUUCCGAAUUUAUAACGACGAUAAAUAAAUUUACGGGUAUUAAAUACCGAUACGGUAGCGCCCUGCACCUUUAAAUAUAAAAUGCUGUAAAAAUUACCAACCAAAAAUUGGAUUAAAAAUUACGGUUUUAUAUCGAUAAAUAUUAAACCAAUUGGAACGUAUAUUUGCCUGUUUUGGAUUUUGCCUAUAACGCCGCGUGGUAUUCCAGCCUUGGUAUAUACCCAUUAAAAAUAAUAUUCGGAACCGAACCCCGAAACCCGCUAUCCACCGACCUGCCAAUUACGACCGUUAAUUUAAACCAAAAACGAAAAACCCUGCAAAUCGUCCGCCAGAUUAAAAAAAUCCAAAAAUUGGUUCGCCAAAACGCGUUAAAAACGCAGGCGAGGUAAAAAAAACAAAUUAAUAAAAAGCGGCGACCAGUAAAUUUUGGGGUUAACGAUUAUAUUUUCGUUAAAAAAAAAGGGUUUCCGACGACCGCACCGACGACCAAAUUGGAUUUACAAUGGACCGGACCAUAACAAAUUUUAAAAAAACGAGGAUAUAAUUAUAUUUUGGACGUAUUUAAAUCGUUUAAAAAAAAAAAUUUGUUCCACGCAAACCGCCUCCGCAAAACCGCAAUGGACCCAUUACCAUAAUAAAAAACAAAACCGCCUCCGCCAAAAAAAAUUAACGGAAAACCAAAAUUUAUAAUCGAUAAAAUUCUAACGUUCCGAUUAUUUGGUCGAAAUAAAAUAUUGCAAUACCAGGUCGUAUAGUAAAAAUAUAAUCCAAACGAUACGUGGUACCCGGUUAAAAAUUUCAAAAAUUUAGCGACAAUUUUUAAUAAUUUCCAUAAAAAAUACAAAAAUGCCGCAGAACCAUCGAAACAAUUAGUAAUUUGGAUAAAAACCGCUGCCGAAAAUAAAUUGGACGAACCGAAUUAGGAAAAUAAUAUGGUAAAGCAUGGAAAUUUAAACGGUAAAAGGAAAAAUCGACGAUAUGGUUAAUUUAACAAAAAUUUCGCAUAAUUUCCUGCGUCGAUAUACGAGGUUUGGAAGGGGGUAAUAUAAUAUUUGGACCAUAAAAUUACCAAACCCUAACCCUGACCCCUAACCAACGACCCACCAGGGUAAUAUUUUUAUUUACGUCGCGUUAAAUUCAAAAUUUUGUUUGUUUCCUUUCUUUUGCUCAAAAUAAAAUCUUCGUCGAUAAACGCCAAUAGAUUAGCUUCCGUGCUAUAUUUACCCUGGCCGUAACAUAAAGGGUUUUCUUUUAUAUGACAAACGUUUUGAUCGUAGCGUAUUUUGGAACGGAAAAAUUAAAAAUAUAUAUAAUUAUUUAAAACACGUUUAAAAGAUUAAGCAAGAUUUCCAUAUUUGCAUAAUUAAUUUAUUAAUUAACGUUACGUUAUAACUACGCAUAAUCCACAUAUAUAAGUGUAAAAGCUUAUAUAAUUAAAUUAAAAUAAACUUGAAGCUAUAUAUAUACAGCUAUUUAUAGUAGUUACCUGGAUAAAAGAAGAAGCGAAAAAAUAAUAUGCCAAAGGUUAUAAUGGAAAAUAAAUAAAUAAAGGUGCGUUAAGUUACUUUGAAAAGGAAAUAAUCAAUUUAGUUUAUCGAUUUCAAAGCUUUUUUAAAACCAAUAUUCAUUCGCAAACUUUGCUCUGCUUUCGUUUUUACCCUCUCUUUACCAUUCAAAAUUUCUUACCCCCGCUAUAAUAUUUAUA
rnacentral:sRNA from 1 species